rnacentral:rRNA from 1 species
CACGGGGGGGAGCAAGCGUUGUUCGGAAUCACUGGGCGUAAAGGGCGUGUAGGCGGUCAGGUAAGUGGGAUGUGAAAGCCCUCGGCUCACCCGAGGAUCUGCAUCUCAAACUGCCUGGCUUGAGUAUGGGAGAGGAUGAGGGAAUUCCUGGUGUAGCGGUGAAAUGCGUAGAUAUCAGGAGGAACACCGGUGGCGAAGGCGGUCUCUGGCGCCAUACUGACGCUGAGGACGAAAGCUGGGGGAGCAAACGGG